GGGCUCCUCCUCUUCAGCUUCGGCCUCUGGAGGUACCAGAAGAAGGCCCCAAUCCCAGGUUACACUCCUCUGCCAGGUGACAACUGUGCAGGCAGCAUCUGAGGACCCCCAGGACAGCGACAUCGCGUCUGUGACAGACUCCAAGCCCCUCAACCCCCCAAAAUGUUGCCCAAAAAAUGGAAAUAAAGAUGCUCCUUUGUGACAAAGUAA